rnacentral:rRNA from 1 species
UACGAAGGGGGCUAGCGUUGCUCGGAAUGACUGGGCGUAAAGGGCGCGUAGGCGGAUGGCACAGUCAGAUGUGAAAUUCCCGGGCUUAACCUGGGGGCUGCAUUUGAUACGUGUGAUCUAGAGUGAGGAAGAGGGUCGUGGAAUUCCCAGUGUAGAGGUGAAAUUCGUAGAUAUUGGGGAAGAACACCGGUGGCGAAGGCGGCGACCUGGUCCUUGACUGACGCUGAGGCGCGAAAGCGUGGGGGAGCAAACAGG